rnacentral:snRNA from 1 species
AGCUUUGCUCAGUGGCAGUAUCGUAGCCAAUGAGGUUUAUCUGAGGCAUGAUUAUUGCUAAUUGAAAACAUCGAAAGAACAGAAUAUAGUCCAGAAGGUAAUAUGUGUCUAUGUCCAAAUA